GGGCCCGUAGUUUAGCCUGGAUAGAAUGGCCGGCUUCGGACCGGCAGAGGGGGGUUCGAAUCCUCCCGGGCUCA
rnacentral:tRNA from 1 species